rnacentral:lncRNA from 1 species
GGUCAUUUGAAGCAGCAACAGCAAACCCUAAUUUCACCCCCAAUUUUGCUUUUAUAUUUAAAGCUUUUUAUAUACAGACUCAAAGCUUAUAAAGUUGAUUCCGAUAAUAUCAACCAUCAGCAUAAAAGUUUCAUUACAUUGCUGGAUAACUUGGAUCAUGCAUACGAUUUUCACUGAAGCUGGGAUUGAAUGUGUGUGCUUAUUGCAAUGCUUCUACAGAACAGAUACCAACGCCAGAGGCUUUAUACCCGUAUUUCACUGGGAAAGGUGCUAGAAGAAUGGAUGUUGUGUGGGGAGAAACUGCUGGAGUAGAAGGUCAAAUAUUGUUUUGCUGAUUAAGUAUAGUUUUGUUCUUGCAAGCGUUAUAUGCGAAUAUGAUUGAAUUCAGAUGUGAUUGUUGUUGUUAGCUUCUGGUGAUCUAUAUUGUCUUUGUU